rnacentral:rRNA from 1 species
AAAGGCAGCCAUUUCACCCUGCAGCCCAAGACUGGUUGCCCACUGAAGCUAAGCAGGGUUGAGCCUGGUCAGUACCUGGAUGGGAGACCUCCUGGGAAAACUAGGUUGCUGCUGGAA